rnacentral:rRNA from 1 species
GAGACGGACGUGUCGAGCAGGUGCGAAAGCAGGGACUAGUGAUCCGGCGCCGGCGUGUGGAAGCGGCGUCGCUCAACGGCUAAAAGGUACCCCGGGGAUAACAGGCUGAUCUUCCCCAAGAGUCCGUAUCGACGGGAUGGUUUGGCACCUCGAUGUCGGCUCGUCGCAUCCUGGGGCUGGAGUUGGUCCCAAGGGUUGGGCUGUUCGCCCAUUAAAGCGGCACGCGAGCUGGGUUUAGAACGUCGUGAGACAGUUCGGUCCCUAUCCGCUGCGCGCGUUGGAGACUUGUGGAGGGCUGUCCCUAGUACGAGAGGACCGGGACGGACGAACCGCUGGUGUGCCAGUUGUUCCGCCAGGGGCAUGGCUGGUUGGCUACGUUCGGGAGAGAUAACCGCUGAAAGCAUCUAAGUGGGAAGCUUGCUUCGAGAUGAGGUCUCCUGCCCUGUGGUGGGGGUAAGGCUGCCAGGUGAUGACUGGGUUGAUAGGCCGGGUGUGGAAGCCUUGUGAGGGGUGGAGCUGACCGGUACUAAUAGGCCGAGGGCUUGUCCGC